rnacentral:rRNA from 1 species
AGAGUUUGAUUAUGGCUCAGAUUGAACGCUGGCGGUAUGCUUAACACAUGCAAGUCGAAUGGUAACAGCAGAAGCUUGCUUCUGGCUGACGAGUGGUGGAUGGGUGAGUAACGCGUGGGAAUUUGUUUUAUAGUGGGGGAUAGUUUGGAGAAAUCCGGAUUAAUAUUGUAUAUGCCCUACGGGGGAAAGUUGGGGAUUUUUGGACCUGACGCUAUUAGAUGAGCCCGCGUUAGAUUAGCUUGUUGGUGGGGUAAUGGUCUACCAAGGCAAUGAUUUAUAGCUGGUCUGAGAGGAUGAUUAGUUAUACUGGGACUGAGAUAUGGCCCAGAUUUUUACGGGAGGCAGCAGUGGGAAUAUUGCACAAUGGGCGCAAGCCUGAUGCAGCAAUACCGCGUGUGUGAAGAAGGCUUGAGGGUUGUAAAGCAUUUUUAAUUGUGAGGAAAAGCUUUUGGUUAAUAACCUUGAGUCUUGACGUUAGCAAUAUAAGAAGCAUUGGUUAACUCCGUGCCAGUAGUUGUGGUAAUACGGAGGGUGCAAGCGUUAAUCGGAAUUACUGGGCGUAAAGCGUGCGUAGGCGGUUUGCUAAGUCAGAUGUGAAAGUUUUGGGUUUAAUUUGGGAAUUGCAUUUGAUAUUGGCAGAUUAGAGUAUGGUAGAGGGGGGUAGAAUUCAUAGUGUAGUGGUGAAAUGUGUAGAUAUUAUGAGGAAUACCAGUGGUGAAGGUGGCCCCCUGGACCAAUACUGACGCUGAGGUAUGAAAGCGUGGGUAGCGAACAGGAUUAGAUAUCCUGGUAGUUUACGCCGUAAAUGAUGUCAACUAGCCGUUGGGACCUUGAGGUCUCAGUGGUGCAGCUAAUGUGUGAAGUUGACCGCCUGGGGAGUACGGCCGCAAGGCUAAAACUCAAAUGAAUUGACGGGGGCCCGCACAAGCGGUGGAGCAUGUGGUUUAAUUUGAUGCAAUGUGAAGAACCUUAUUUAUUUUUGACAUUGAUAGAAUUUAGUAGAGAUAUAGGAGUGCCUUUGGGUUUGGAAAAUAGGUGCUGCAUGGCUGUCGUCAGCUCGUGUUGUGAGAUGUUGGGUUAAGUUUUUGUAAUGAGUGUAACCCUUAUCCUUAGUUGCCAGCAUGUUAUGGUGGGAACUCUAAGGAGACUGCCGGUGAUAAACCGGAGGAAGGUGGGGAUGACGUCAAGUCAUCAUGGCCCUUAUGGGUAGGGCUACACACGUGCUACAAUGGCCAGUAUAGAGGGUAGUAAACUCGUGAGAGUAAGUAAAUCCCACAAAGCUGGUCGUAGUCCGGAUUGGAGUCUGCAAUUUGACUUCAUGAAGUUGGAAUCGCUAGUAAUCGUGAAUUAGAAUGUUAUGGUGAAUAUGUUCCCGGGCUUUGUAUAUAUUGCCCGUCACACCAUGGGAGUGGGCUGCAAAAGAAGUGGGUAGUUUAACCUUCGGGAGAACGCUCACCAUUUUGUGGUUCAUGGCUGGGGUGAAGUCGUAACAAGGUA